AUCCUUCGAAGAGUGCGUAACAGCUCACUGGUCGAGGGAUUCCGCGCCGAAAAUGUAACGGGGCUCAAGUCUGCCGCCGAAGCCGUGGAUGUUAGAAGAAAAGUUGAGAAGAUCAGAGAGUGGGCAACCGCCCUCCGAUCUACAAGGCCUAUCUUCUUGCAUGGUAGAGGAGCGUUCCUCGGGCACACAAGCUCCGAUGUGAGUCGGGGUGGAGCGCGGGGAAGUGAGAAUCCUGGAAUGAGUAACGUAAACUAGGGUGAAAAUCCCUGGCGCCGAAAGCCCAAUGUUUCCUACGCAACGUUUAUCGGCGUAGGGUUAGUCGGUCCUAAGCCGUAGGCAAGAGCCGAAGGCGAUGGACAGCAGGUUAAUAUUCCUGCACCGCCGUUGUUUCGCUUUAAAACCAAGGAGGGGCGCGGGAGGGCAGGUAGAGCAUGCCUAUUGGACAUGGUGUGUCCUCUUUCGUAGGCGAGUCGGGGCAGGUAAAUCCACUCCGACGUUAAGCUGAGGAUUGAGGGAACUGAAGCCUUCGGGCUUACAGAACUCUGCUGACCCCAUACUGACGAGAAAAGCUUCGUGGUUAUGGGAAUAUGGCAACCGUACCGCAAACCGCCACUGGUGGGCUAGGAUAAAAGUCCUAAGGCGUUCGAGCGAACCUUCGUUAAGGAACUAGACAAAAGAGCCCUGUAACUUCGGGAGAAAGGGCCCCCCGGAAUGUGUAGCCACUUGCUGGCGAAGCAAUUUGGGGGCGCAGAAAAGAAGGCCGGGCGACUGUUUAACAAAAACACAGGUCUGUGCUAAGGGGAAACCCUACGUAUACAGGCUGACGCCUGCCCAGUGCCGGAAGGUUAAGGGGAGCGGUGAGAGCUGCGAACUGAAGCCCCGGUGAACGGCGGCCGUAACUCUAACGGUCAACCGAUCGGUUCAAACAGGCUCCGGGCGCAAGCCCUGGCCUCUAGGGCUGACCAAGGCCGUUAUAAAAUCUGGCUAUAUGCUGGAAACUCCGAGUAUCCGGCGCUACCGGCUGGUUUAAUCUGAACCAGAAGGUGACAAUGCGUCCGGUGCGGACAAUCAGCAGGAAAGACCUUGGAGAAGAAGCUCCGGUCCGUCCAAGGAUCGAAGUGGACCUUCUCGGAAUCCUCAGAGACUAUACGCCAAACCCCUGACGGAGCCAGCGGGAAGAUAUAGUCCGAUCUAUAUGGCGACAUGUAGAGGCCGGCAGAAAUGACCGGCCCCGUCAGUAACUACCUGAGCGCUUCGGCGCUUGAGUGACUUCUGAUGAGUAACAACAUGCCUAAGGUAGCGAAGUCCCUUGUCGGGUAAGUUCCGACCCGCAUGAAUGGUUGAACGACUUGGCCAUUGUCUCGACGGAGGGCUCGGUGAAAUUGCGGUGCCCGUGAAGACGCGGGCGACCCGCGGCAGGACAAAAAGACCCCGUGGAGCUUUACUGUAACCUGGUAUUGGUCUGGGAACUGUCAUGUGUAGGAUAGGUGGGAGACUUUGAAGUUGCGACGCCAGUCGUGAUGGAGUCACCCUUGAAAUACCACCCUUGGCUGUUUUUGGUUCUAACCUCAGCAAAACUGAGGGACAGUGCCUGGCGGGCAGUUUAACUGGGGCGGUUGCCUCCGAAAAGGUAACGGAGGCGUCCAAAGGUUCCCUCAGGACGGAUGGAAAUCGUCCUUAGAACGCAUUGGCAUAAGGGAGCUUGACUGCGAGACCUACAAGUCGAGCAGGGACGAAAGUCGGGCAAAGUGAUCCCACGGUUCCGUGUGGAAGGGCCGUGGCUUAUCGGAUAAAAGCUACCCCGGGGAUAACAGGCUUAUCUCCCCCAAGAGUUCACAUCGACGGCGAGGUUUGGCACCUCGAUGUCGGCUCGUCCCAUCCUGGGGCUGAAGGCGGUCCCAAGGGUCCGGCUGUUCGCCGGUUAAAGGGGUACGUGAGUUGGGUUCAGAACGUCGUGAGACAGUUCGGUCUCUAUCCGCCGUGGGCGCAGGAGGCUUGAGGGAACCUCUUCCUAGUACGAGAGGACCGGAAGGGAUAGACCUAUGGUGUGCCAGUUGUUCCGCCAGGAGCAGCGCUGGGUAGCCAUGUCUAGUAUUGAUAAGCGCUGAAGGCAUCUAAGCGCGAAGCUGCCCCCAAGAUGAGGCCUCCCUUCCCUAUUAAGUUAGGGAGUAAGACUGCAGAGAGACUAUCUGCUUGAUAGGCCGGAUGUGUAAGGAUGGCAACAUCUUCAGCAUACCGGUACUAACCGGUCGAGAGGCUUGACC
rnacentral:rRNA from 1 species